rnacentral:rRNA from 1 species
CUAACAAGGAUUCCCCCAGUAACGGCGAGUGAAGCGGGAAGAGCUCAAAUUUGAAAUCUCCGAGGCCUGAACGCUUCGGCGAGUUGUAGUUGCGAGAAGCACUUUCUCAGCGGACCGACCGUGCCUAAGUUGCUUGGAACAGCACGUCGCAGAGGGUGACAACCCCGUCUGUGGCGCGGACGGCCGCUCACGAUGUGCUUUCGAAGAGUCGGGUUGUUUGGGAAUGCAGCCCAAAACGGGUGGUAAACUCCAUCUAAAGCUAAAUACUGGCGUGAGACCGAUAGCGAAGGAAACGAAUGGACUCAGCAAUGCGCCGUUUGAGAUUCAGCCGGCGGGUAGUGCCGGCCCGGGGUUUGCGGAUCUGAAUGGACCGCGGUCCCGGGCUCGGAGCUCCCGGUCGUCGCACUUCUCUUGGGCGCGCGUCAACGUCGGUUGGGACUGGGUCUGAAAGGUGCCGGGAAGGUAGGUCUGUCGUCCCUUCGGGGUCGCUCGGUCUGUUACAGCCCGGUUCUCCUCGCGGCUCGGGCCCGACCGAGGCGGUGCAGCGCAUGCCUCUCGUAAGGCUAGGGUCCCGUCCCUCCGGCCGGUUGUCGAAUGUGGUGGACUGCUUGCAGUCUCCG